rnacentral:rRNA from 1 species
UGGGGAAUAUUGCACAAUGGGCGCAAGCCUGAUGCAGCCAUGCCGCGUGUAUGAAGAAGGCCUUCGGGUUGUAAAGUACUUUCAGCGGGGAGGAAGGGAGUAAAGUUAAUACCUUUGCUCAUUGACGUUACCCGCAGAAGAAGCACCGGCUAACUCCGUGCCAGCAGCCGCGGUAAUACGGUGGGUGCAAGCGUUAAUCGGAAUUACUGGUCGUAAAGCGCACUCAGGCGGUUUGUUAAGUCAGAUGUGAAAUCCCAGGGCUAAACCUGGGAACUGCGUAUGAUAAUGGCAAGGUGGAGUGUCGUAGAGGGGGGGAGGAGUCGAGGUGUAGGGGUGAAAUGCGUAGAGAGCAGGAGGAAUACCGGUGGCGAAGGCGGCCACCAGGACGAAGUCUGAAGCUCAGGUGCGAAAGCGUGGGGAGCAAACAGG